rnacentral:rRNA from 1 species
AACGAACGCUGGCGGCAUGCCUAACACAUGCAAGUCGAACGAGACCUUCGGGUCUAGUGGCGCACGGGUGCGUAACGCGUGGGAACCUGCCCUUAGGUUCGGAAUAACUCCCCGAAAGGGGUGCUAAUACCGGAUAAUGUCCUCGGACCAAAGAUUUAUCGCCUUUGGAUGGGCCCGCGUUGGUUUAGCUAGUUGGUAGGGUAAAAGCCUACCAAGGCGACGAUCCAUAGCUGGUCUGAGAGGAUGAUCAGCCACACUGGGACUGAGACACGGCCCAGACUCCUACGGGAGGCAGCAGAGGGGAAUAUUGGACAAUGGGGGAAAGCCUGAUCCAGCAAUGCCGGGUGAGUGAUGAAGGCCGUAGGGUUGUAAAGCUCUUUUACCCGGGAUGAUAAUGACAGUACCGGGAGAAUAAGCACCGGCUAACUCCGUG